GCCUAAUACAUGCAAGUCGAGCGGACAGAUGGGAGCUUGCUCCCUGAUGUUAGCGGCGGACGGGUGAGUAACACGUGGGUAACCUGCCUGUAAGACUGGGAUAACUCCGGGAAACCGGGGCUAAUACCGGAUGCUUGUUUGAACCGCAUGGUUCAAACAUAAAAGGUGGCUUCGGCUACCACUUACAGAUGGACCCGCGGCGCAUUAGCUAGUUGGUGAGGUAAUGGCUCACCAAGGCGACGAUGCGUAGCCGACCUGAGAGGGUGAUCGGCCACACUGGGACUGAGACACGGCCCAGACUCCUACGGGAGGCAGCAGUAGGGAAUCUUCCGCAAUGGACGAAAGUCUGACGGAGCAACGCCGCGUGAGUGAUGAAGGUUUUCGGAUCGUAAAGCUCUGUUGUUAGGGAAGAACAAGUACCGUUCGAAUAGGGCGGUACCUUGACGGUACCUAACCAGAAAGCCACGGCUAACUACGUGCCAGCAGCCGCGGUAAUACGUAGGUGGCAAGCGUUGUCCGGAAUUAUUGGGCGUAAAGGGCUCGCAGGCGGUUUCUUAAGUCUGAUGUGAAAGCCCCCGGCUCAACCGGGGAGGGUCAUUGGAAACUGGGGAACUUGAGUGCAGAAGAGGAGAGUGGAAUUCCACGUGUAGCGGUGAAAUGCGUAGAGAUGUGGAGGAACACCAGUGGCGAAGGCGACUCUCUGGUCUGUAACUGACGCUGAGGAGCGAAAGCGUGGGGAGCGAACAGGAUUAGAUACCCUGGUAGUCCACGCCGUAAACGAUGAGUGCUAAGUGUUAGGGGGUUUCCGC
rnacentral:rRNA from 1 species